CCUACGGGUGGCAGCAGUGGGGAAUAUUGGGCAAUGGGGGCAAGCCUGAUGCAGCAACGCCGCGUGAAGGAAGAAGGCUUUCGGGUUGUAAACUUCUUGUAAGAUGGAAGAGAAUAAGACGGUUCCUAUUAAAUAAGCCACGGCUAACUACGUGCCAGCAGCCGCGGUAAUACGUAGGGGGCAAGCGUUGUCCGUUUUUACUGGCUGUAAGGGGCGUGCAGCCGGGAUGCCGAGUCAGAUGUGAAAUCCCGCGGCUCAACCGCGGUACGGCAUAUGAAACUGUUUUACUGGAGUACGGGAGGGGUAAUCGGAAUUCCUUGUGUAGCGGUGAAAUGCGUAGAUAUAAGGAAGAACACCCGUGGCGAAGGCGGGUGCCUGGACGGCAACUGACGCUGAGGCACGAAAGCGAGGGGAGCGAAAAGGAUUAGAUACCCCAGUAGUC
rnacentral:rRNA from 1 species